GCGGGGAUAAUCAAGUCUGGUCCACGAUGCUGGACUUAGGAUCCAGUGCUUAGCGCCGCGAGGGUUCGAAGCCCUCUCCCCGCA
rnacentral:tRNA from 1 species